rnacentral:rRNA from 1 species
CCUACGGGUGGCAGCAGUGAGGAAUAUUGGUCAAUGGGCGCGAGCCUGAACCAGCCAAGUAGCGUGAAGGAUGACUGCCCUACGGGUUGUAAACUUCUUUUAUAAAGGAAUAAAGUGAGGCGCGUGUGCCUUUUUGUAUGUACUUUAUGAAUAAGGAUCGGCUAACUCCGUGCCAUCAGCCGCGGUAAUACGGAGGAUCCGAGCGUUAUCCGGAUUUAUUGGGUUUAAAGGGAGCGUAGAUGGGUUGUUAAGUCAGUUGUGAAAGUUUGCGGCUCAACCGUAAAAUUGCAAUUGAUACUGGCAGUCUUGAGUACAGUUGAGGUAGGCGGAAUUCGUGGUGUAGCGGUGAAAUGCUUAGAUAUCACGAAGAACUCCGAUUGCGAAGGCAGCUUACUAAACGGCCACUGACAUUGAUGUGCGAAAGUGUGGGUAUCAAACAGGAUUAGAUACCCCUGUAGUC